rnacentral:rRNA from 1 species
GCUUGUCUCAAAGAUUAAGCCAUGCAUGUCUAAGUAUAAGCACUUAUACCGUGAAACUGCGAAUGGCUCAUUAUAUCAGUUAUAGUUUAUUUGAUAGUUCCUACUACUUGGAUAACCGUAGUAAUUCUAGAGCUAAUACAUGCGACAACCCCUGACUGCUUGCAGAAAGGGCGUAUUUAUUAGAUACAACCAACCCUUCGGGUCCCUGGUGAAUCAUAAUAACCGAACGAACCGUAUGCGCAAGCGACGGUGGUUCAUUCAAGUUUCUGCCCUAUCAGCUUUCGAUGGUAGGGUAUUGGCCUACCAUGGCGUUAACGGGUAACGGAGAAUUAGGGUUCGAUUCCGGAGAGGGAGCCUGAGAGAUGGCUACCACAUCCAAGGAAGGCAGCAGG